CACCACCAUUACUCCCACUACCACCACCAUAACUCCCACCAUCAUCUCCACCAUUAUUCAUCAUUAAAAGUGUUGUAACUCUUGACCUUUGAGAGGUCUUUCUUGUACUAUAUAUACAACACAAUGUAAAUGUAUUUGAGAUACAAGAAGAAGAAGAGAAAUACAUAUUGCAUUCUCUCUAUUUACUCUCUUAUGUUCUCUUUGUUAUGUUGUCUUCUUCUUCAUUUUCUAACACGUUAUCAGCACGAUUGUUCUACCUAAAUUUUCGAGUAAAGAUAGUCCAAGGAAGAUGACUCCUUAGCCAUUGAAGAUGAAAGGGAGUUGAUUUUAAAUAUUUUAUUCUUGUUUUGAAUUGAUAAAAUAUUAACCAUCUUACUUUUGUUGUAGGUGAUUUUUCGUGCAAUUCACGAGUUUGUACUUCGAUGUCUGUUUUGGACCUGAUAAUGUCCAAAUUUCAGAAAAUGCGAAAUACGAAACUUGUAGCAUUUUCUAUUGGCUGUUCGGAACAUUUUGAAUCAUCAAAAUCGGAUCUCGAUCAAGAGAUAUAUGCUUAAAAUACUCAGACAUGCCAGAUCAGUCAUUUGUGGUCAUUUUGCAAGACUUUGAGUCCCGUUUCGGACCUGAUAUUUUCCGAAUUUGAUAAAAUGUAAAAUACGAAAGUUGUAGAACUUUCUGUUGGCUGUUCACAACAUCUUGAAGCGUUGAAAUUGGGUCUCGAAUGAGAGAGAUACAAGCAAAUUACUCAGACAUGACAAAUUUGUCGUUUGUGGACAUUUUUCAAGUCCACAAAAUAUUGAAAUGAGAAAAUUGAUAAUUGAUCUAAUCAAUUUAUGGCUUGAAGCCUAGAUCACAUUUUGAGACUAUAAGUCUCAAUAGAAUAUGAUAGACUCAAAGUUUAUGCGAUAAUACUCAAACUUAAGAUUUGAGUUGAUAUGUAUUUCUCAUUCAUAUAUAGUACUAUUAUUCUAUGGUUAAGUACUAUGAUGAUCUAAAUCAUAUAUAUAUAGGCUUGAGGCCUACAUUGAGUACACAAAGUCAAGUUAUAAACCUCAUAUAUGUACUCGAAAAGAUUAUUUGUUGGUGAUUCAAUAAUAUGAAAAAU
rnacentral:lncRNA from 1 species